AGGUGCUAGAGACAGAAUAUUCCAAGGACCUCCAGAGCCUUCAGAUCAACUACCUGCGAUCUCUCCAAAGAAGUGAGUCUGCCGGGCCAUGGAACUCUAGAGCAGAACAUCAAGAAACCUGCCACCACGUUGUCAGCUGUAAACAGUUCCCUGUGGAAGGAUGCAACUAUCAAGGCUUCCAAUUUGGGGGAUGACCAUCAAAUGCAAUAAAGUUUUGUAUAAACUA